GUCUCUAUGUCCCAGUGGUUAAGGAGUCCGGCUGUUAACCGGAAGAUCGGUGGUUCGAUCCCACCUAGGGACG
rnacentral:tRNA from 3 species